rnacentral:rRNA from 1 species
GGCGAACGCUGGCGGCGUGCUUAACACAUGCAAGUCGAACGGAAAGGCCCUGCUUUUGUGGGGUGCUCGAGUGGCGAACGGGUGAGUAACACGUGAGUAACCUGCCCUUGACUUUGGGAUAACUUCAGGAAACUGGGGCUAAUACCGGAUAGGAGCUCCUGCUGCAUGGUGGGGGUUGGAAAGUUUCGGCGGUUGGGGAUGGACUCGCGGCUUAUCAGCUUGUUGGUGGGGUAGUGGCUUACCAAGGCUUUGACGGGUAGCCGGCCUGAGAGGGUGACCGGCCACAUUGGGACUUAGAUACGGCCCAGACUCCUACGGGAGGCAGCAGUGGGGAAUAUUGCACAAUGGGCGGAAGCCUGAUGCAGCAACGCCGCGUGCGGGAUGACGGCCUUCGGGUUGUAAACCGCUUUCGCCUGUGACGAAGCGUGAGUGACGGUAAUGGGUAAAGAAGCACCGGCUAACUACGUG